rnacentral:lncRNA from 1 species
GAAGGAGGAGGAGGAGGAGGAGGAGAAAGUGGCUCUCAGCGGCCGGUCGGAUUAAAAGUAACCAGACUCGUCCAGAAAACUGCGUCCAGGAAGGAAGUGACAGAAGACGAAUGGGAAAAGGAGAACAGCUCACAGCGUUUGAAACAUCGCGGCACCACUUUCAGAUAAAAACAUAGACCUGAAUGGCAUCAUCCAGUAUCCAAGGAAACCAUUGUGUCUGUAACCAGCUAAUGAGCUGCAACAGAGCCUGGCCUUCAUUUUCAGCAAAUUAAGUUCAUCCCUCAUAGGAAUUGUGGUCUGGCUGUGGCACCGCUCCUAGACAUGACAAACUCCAAAAGGAAACCCAAGCAGCUAUUUGGCUCCCUUAAUUAAUGAAGUCGCCCAGUAUGGAUAAUUCAGGUUCUCUAAACAUGAAUAUGCCUUUGGGGGAAGACAGAAGAACAUGGAAGCCAUGUGAAAAAAACGGAUCCUAAGGCAGUUUUGAACAUCUGGAGGCCUGAUUUAUUGGAGAUUGCAAAUGUACAGUGUAACAUAGCUGUGGAGAGAUCUCACAUGAGAUGGCAAAGAGGUCAAGACAAAAAUUCUGCAUUUGGGAAAAGAAUAACACAUGGACUUCCUCCUACAGGAUUAUAGGACUGUGUAUGUCCUACACACACAUUAUAUGUCCUACACGCACAGUGAUGAGGAGUGACAAAAUGAAGACUCCAGAAUCCUCUUUAUCAGAUCCUGAAUGUGCACUUUCUGAAGUGAAGUCCACUAUGUGCUGGGCACACAGAGAAUAGAGCAUGAAACAAAAGCAACAUGACCCUGCCCUCACCAAGACUACAGGGAGUGAUGGAGCAUACAACUUUGUUUCAGAAUGCAAUUCAGAUCUUCCCUUUCGCUUGGCUUCUUAAAACUUCUUUUGAGGAUGGUAAAAUUUCGUGUUAUAUUAAAUUUCAUCCUGUAACUGAUACUCUGGGAUGAUGUUGGCCAAUAACUAGCAAGACUUUAAAUAAUCAACUAGUUUAGGCAUUGCUUAGCACGCUCCAGCUGACUUCACAAGUAAAACCAUGUGAAGAAAGAAGGUUUUCAGGUAACACAGAUGGAGGUGAUGAUCUUUCUCAUUUUGUGGAAAAUAUUAAUUUCUCAUUUUUUAUUCACUGACAAUUAGUAAAAUUCCUUACUCUACCUAAUAUGUAGACUUCUGAACUAUGUAAGUAAAACUUUAUAGUAACUGAAAAGUUUGGGUAUUGUAUUUUCUUGGAGAAAAUGUUAGCUUCCCUCUGUUACUUUUAAAUGUUAAACUUUUAAUGAAUUUCAUCAAUGUAUAAUAAUGGGCAUAAUGAUCCACUCUGAAAUAUUUACUGUCAUUUUGAAUUUAUUCUUGAGUCAUCACAAACGUGUACAUCUCUUAUACCUUCAUGGAUGUUAUUGGUGAGAUGAUCUCUUGUUGUCAACACCUUGAGGAUAGGGACUUAUUCAGGCUCGCCUCUAGCAAGUGCUAAGUGCCUGGGAACACAUAAUAAAUAUUUCAUGAUAGGAGGAUGUUAGAAUAAGAGGAAAAACCAGAUUCUUACCCAAAUAAAUAAUAUUUAUUAUAUUCUUAUUUGUAUAUCAUUGUAACUGUAAAAAAA